rnacentral:rRNA from 1 species
GAUGAACGCUGGCGGCGUGCCUAAUACAUGCAAGUCGAGCGAACGGACGAGAAGCUUGCUUCUCUGAUGUUAGCGGCGGACGGGUGAGUAACACGUGGAUAACCUACCUAUAAGACUGGGAUAACUUCGGGAAACCGUAGCUAAUACCGGAUAAUAUUUUGAACCGCAUGGUUCAAAAGUGAAAGACGGUCUUGCUGUCACUUAUAGAUGGAUCCGCGCUGCAUUAGCUAGUUGGUAAGGUAACGGCUUACCAAGGCAACGAUGCAUAGCCGACCUGAGAGGGUGAUCGGCCACACUGGAACUGAGACACGGUCCAGACUCCUACGGGAGGCAGCAGUAGGGAAUCUUCCGCAAUGGGCGAAAGCCUGACGGAGCAACGCCGCGUGAGUGAUGAAGGUCUUCGGAUCGUAAAACUCUGUUAUUAGGGAAGAACAGAUGUGUAAGUAACUGUGCACAUCUUGACGGUACCUAAACAGAAAGCCACGGCUAACUACGUG